rnacentral:lncRNA from 1 species
AUUCAUUGAGAAUCCAUAAUUCGAAGGCAGUUGCUUGCAGUUCCUAUCACUUCCACUGGAUGUCAACAGUCUUUAGAAAUUGGUUGAUGUUUUUCCUUUGUGUAAUGUAGAAGUAGCCCUGUUCAGAAUGAGGCUCAAGGGAAGUAUGCUGUUUGAUAGAGGCGCGUGACCUGAAAAGCAUGCUCCACUUUGUUUUCCUCCGGUAUUGAACACAGUUUAUCCCAUCUUAAAUUUUCAAUUAUUUAUGUAAAAAAAAGACCUAAAGUUGUAUUAGGAAAGUUGUUUGAAAUGUUUGGACAAAGAUUACAGGUAACUUGAGAUAUUUUGUAGUCAUGUUGCGUGAGUUGGAACCGGUGUUUUUCUGGAUCAAACACACCAAAUAAAUGGACAUUUUGGAUAUAUAACGACGGAAUUAAUCGAACAAAAGGACCAUUUGUGAUGUUUAUGGGACAUAUUGGAGUGCCAACAGAAGAAGGUCGUCAAAGAGGACCUGAGCCCUAGGACCAUGCCUCAGGACUACCUGGCCUGAUGACUCCUUGCAGUCCACCUGGUCGUGCUGCUGCUCCAGUUUCAACUGUUCUGCCUGCGGCUAUGGAACCCUGACCUGUUCACCGGAUGUGCUACCUUGUCCCAGACCUGCUGUUUUCGACUCUCUCUCUACCGCACCUGCUGUCUCUAACUCUGAAUGCUUGGCUAUGAAAAGCCAACUGACAUUUACUACUGAGAGCACAAAUAUUGUCAAGCAAUGGGGAAGACCACAUUGAGAACCUUAAUUGUCUGUGUAUCCACAGUGUAUAGUGCUUUAGGUUGUGUAGUGACAGGCCCAGACCAGGAGGUUCCUGUGGGCUCUAAUGUCCGACUGCCCUGCAACCUCACUCAGUGUUUCAAAAGUCUGGGACAUCACAAAAUCAGUGUGGAGUGGGAGUUCACUGACAAGAGUGUAUUUGGUUGGGACCAUCUCUGAAGGUGACUUCUCGCUCCUGCUGCUGUCAGUGACAGUCCAAUGUAGUGGCACCUACAUGUGUCGCCUGGGUCCUGCACCCGGCUAUCCAGACAUCCAUCAGAGUCACACACAGGUCACAGUGGUGGAAAGAUCAGGGCAGCACAGGAGUUUCCCAGGAGAUUUCCAUAAACCUGAUGUAACCCAUCCUGAUUGGCUGUUGCCUCUCUGCUGCGGGCUUUUUUCACUGUGCCUGGUGGGCGGAGUCACAGUGGGAAUAUGGGUGUGUCGGGAGGUCACCACGGCAACAAAAUGACCAGUGUCACAUCCAGGUGAACGUAAUACGUGGAGAAGACACACAGGAAGCCAAUGGAAACAAGGACACAAACUGCUAUGUCACGCUCCAGAGGUUCAGGGCCCCGCCUCCUCCCACACCCUCUAGAGGAGAGGGCAUCUACGUUACCAUGCACGGCACUCCCGCUGGGCCUUCAGGUGUCCAUUCCAAGCCUCAGACUCACCCCAGCAGAAAGACUCUCCCAGAGGAGUGGCUGCAGCAGGAAAUACCCACAAAGCCCCAACACUUCCCUUGAACACCUCCAACCAACCCUCCUCAAAAACUUAGACACAGGGAACUGCUGUGUUGAGACUAAUAGCUUGGCUAUUUCAAAUCCCCCCAUUGUUCCUUUGCGCCAUUGCCGAAGAGCCACUAUGUUUGAAUCAUUUCAAAAGGGGUGAAAAUCUAUUACUUUGGAAGAGAAUCCAGAACCACCCUUAUCCAAAUUCAUCUCUGACACUAUAAUCAGAGUGGUUAUUGAAGUUAGGAAGAAGAAGAUUCCUAUAAUUUAGCUAUAUAAAGAUGACGUAUUACGAUUACUUAGAAGAUCCUUCCUUCUUGCUAAUGGUCCCCUCUCAGCUCUUAAGUGUAACCCUAACAGAGAUGGAACAGUUAUUAUUGUUGACCGGUAGGGAUUUUAAAAACAGG